AUUGAACGCUGGCGGCAGGCCUAACCCAUGCAAGUCGAACGAGUGGCGGACGGGUGAGUAAUGUCUGGGAAACUGCCCGAUGGAGGGGGAUAACUACUGGAAACGGUAGCUAAUACCGCAUACCAUCGGAUGAGCCCAGAUGGGAUUAGCUUGUAGGUGAGGUAACGGCUCACCUAGGCGACGAUCCCUAGCUGGUCUGAGAGGAUGACCAGCAACACUGGAAAGGAGACACGGUCCAGACUCCUACGGGAGGCAGCAGUGGGGAAUAUUGCACAAUGGGCGAAAGCCUGAUGCAGCCAUGCGGCGUGUAUGAAGAAGGCCUUCGGGUUGUAAAGUACUUUCAGCGGGGAGGCGUUACCCGCAGAAGAAGCACCGGCUAACUCCGUGCCAGCAGCCGCGGUAAUAC
rnacentral:rRNA from 1 species